UGAGAAAUGUGCAGUAGGGACCCUGUA
rnacentral:piRNA from 1 species